AGUGAACGCUGGCGGCAGGCCUAACACAUGCAAGUCGAACGGCAGCACAGUAAGAGCUUGCUCUUACGGGUGGCGAGUGGCGGACGAGUGAGGAAUACAUCGGAAUCUACUUUUUCGUGGGGGAUAACGUAGGGAAACUUACGCUAAUACCGCAUACGACCUACGGGUGAAAGCAGGGGAUCUUCGGACCUUGCGCGAUUGAAUGAGCCGAUGUCGGAUUAGCUAGUUGGCGGGGUAAAGGCCCACCAAGGCGACGAUCCGUAGCUGGUCUGAGAGGAUGAUCAGCCACACUGGAACUGAGACACGGUCCAGACUCCUACGGGAGGCAGCAGUGGGGAAUAUUGGACAAUGGGCGCAAGCCUGAUCCAGCCAUACCGCGUGGGUGAAGAAGGCCUUCGGGUUGUAAAGCCCUUUUGUUGGGAAAGAAAAGCAGCAGGUUAAUACCCCGCUGUUCUGACGGUACCCAAAGAAUAAGCACCGGCUAACUUCGUG
rnacentral:rRNA from 1 species